rnacentral:rRNA from 1 species
CCGUUUUUCUAGAUGCGUAUAUUCCUUCCUAUCUGAUGAGGAAAUUCAGCAUUAAUGUGCCAGAUGAUGGUACAUUGGUGUGCACUUUUCUUCUAGUAAGACGUUGCGAUCCAUUAGAAAAGCAAUUUAAAUCUGUAUAUAGGCCCGAAUAGGAGUUUAUACAUUAAGCGAGUAACAUAGCUUUGUUGUUAUGUGAAUGCGUGUAAACUAUCUGGUGUUCUUACAGAUGUCUGAUGGUAUAUUGACGAGUGUCACAUACAAUUCCUUGUGAAUUGACAUUCUUUAUGGAGGUGAAGUGUGCAUUAUCUCCACCGUUUUAUAUAUUUGAGACCCCCUCGACCCCCCUUGAGACACGGACAACAAAAUCUCUAUUGUGUGCGCGUCUCUGGGAUAUUUUAAACCCCUAUGCGAAAUGAGAUAUUCUUGUGAUAGGGUGAAAAUACGAGGGGUGUAUUAUUUAUUCUGUUUCUCCCCCCCCGGCUAUCUGAAUGUAAAGACUGUUAUUUCGGGUGCGUGCACUACAAAUAUAUAGCGAGAACAUACUCUGUGUCACCCGAAAGAUGGAGAUCUAUGCCAGAUCGGGUAGAAGUCGAGACACACCCUGAUGAAAGACCGUAUCCUCACAGACGUGCAUAUCGAGUGACAGAGGUGUAUAUAGGGAGACACACCUAUCCAACUAUCUACUAUCUGGCUCCCACAGA